UCCGACCCGCACGAAUGGCGUAACGACAUGGGCGCUGUCUCAACGAGGAGCCCGGCGAAAUUGAACUGGCCGUGAAGAUGCGGCCUACCCGCGACAGGACAAAAAGACCCCGUGGAGCUUUACUGUAGCCUGACGUUGGGUCGGGGCUCGGGAUGCGUAGGAUAGGUGGGAGGCUGGGAUCCAGGGACUCUGGUCUCUGGGGAGCCGACGGUGAAAUACCACCCUUCCCGGGUUUUGAGUCUAACCGUGCGCCGUUAUCCGGCGUCGGAACAGCGUCUGGUGGGCAGUUUGACCGGG
rnacentral:rRNA from 1 species